GACCACCCAUGGUUCCUCUCUUCAUGGUUGUCAUCGUCCUAGACCCUAGAGAUUGAGCCAGUCUUAGAAUCUACCAUCUUCAAUCAAGGCAUUCGUGAGAGUAAUUAUGGGAAGUUGCAAACACUUGGUUGGGAAAGGAAUAGCCGAACUGAUAAAACGGUAUACAUUCACUAGCUACAAUGAUAUCUCUGAAGUAGAUGUAGAUAGAACAUGGGAGAAGGAUCUUGAUGGCAUUGCUCUUGUGGAUUUCAUUAACUCGAUUUAACAUCAAAUUAUUCCUUCCGUAGAUGGCUCAGGUUAUGUGGAUUUUCUUUCUAAACUUCUGUUGCUCUUGACAUAUCUCCAUGAGUGUUUGCUACUAUAAUAUAUACCUCGGUUUUCCUGGUUGUAUAUAAAUAUUCCUACUUUGUUUUUA